UAUAGUAAUUAUAUAAGCGGCGAUCGACGAGCUACAGUGUUAAGAACAGUAGUUUUACCACUCCGUGCAUUUAUUCCGUGUUGAUUGUUAAUUGUCUUUUUUAUCCUUUUGGUUUCAUCUUUUGUAUCCGUUUAAAUAAGAAUAUUUUGGUCUUUAAUGUUAAGUUGUGUCAGUGAUAUUUUCUCCCCAGAAAAAUUUUAGGCCGCAAGUCCAUCUCUCAUUCUCGCCUUCGUCUUCCUCCCACAUUUUUUCUCUCAACUCAGACCCUCUACCAUCCAUUUCUCGCGGCCCUCCAUUUCUCUUCAUGUAGCUAAAACCCAAAUCGCCAAAGCUGUGAAACCCAGCCCCAACACUUGUCUCUCCCUCUGUUUCCAUCAUCUCCACCACAUCAUCUCCCCAACGCCUGUCUCUCCCUCUGUGAAACCCAAAUCACCAAAGCUGUGAAACCCACCACCGUACGAAGUCUGGUCGAGGACGACCUGGUUCAAGGUCCUGAUUCCCAACAGUUAUUAGAGCCAGCAAGUAACUGCAAACAAAAGUAACCGACACUUUCCAGACACGCAGAUUUAACUUCUACAGCGAUCGAGCAAGCAAGUCAUGCAGUGGGGGUGUCACUCCCAAUUAUUCAGGGGUUUUCAUGGGGAUGGUAUUCGGGAUUGCAUUGAUGGCGGGAUGGAAACAAAUGAUGCGGUACCGGAGCACCAAGCGAAUUGCUAAGUGGGUUGCAGGAGAUACUGGAUGCGAUUUCGGAAGCGAAGGUGCUGGGCGAUGAUCACUAUUAUCAUGCGUGGGGUACACCUUGGGGUUAUGGAUACGAUGGCUCGACGAGGGAUUGGGACGACGUCGUGGCGGAGAUGUAGGAGGAGGUUUGCAGGGAAAGAGGUGGUGACGAGAUGGAGAGGUUUUGUGCGCAGAGGUUUCUGAAUGAGCCCUGAUCCUUUUAUUCAGUUUCCGUUGAGUACAGCUUUUACCAUAUGUAACAUUCUCAUUUAUAUAUAUAGUAGAUAUAUAAGUUUGUGUUGUGGAGGUGAAUUGUUAUUGUGGUGGAUGGUAUAUAUAUGGGUUCUAAAGUGGUAGGAAAUUUCUAUCUAUCUCUCUCCCUCUCUCUUACUCUCUCCCUCUCUCUUACUCAGUUACUCGCCGAAGGAAGAAAAUGCUAAUGCCAAAAAGAAACUAAUUAAAAACGAGAAGGAUAUGUUAUGUUUUCAGUCACAUUCUAUUAUCUAUAUCUAAUUGAUUUCAUUUUUUAUUAUUUUUUCCGGCUACCAUAUAUGCAGCUUUACUAGGGAACAAGUUGAACAACUUGACAAGAACAAGCAAUGGUCCAGGGCACUUGAUGGUUCUAAUUACCUCCCAGGAAUGGUACCUAUCUUUGGGCUGUCGAUAUAAAACUCCUUGGAUCCCUUAAUCGGGAUGAUUUGAAGAAAAUUUGCGGUGAUAAUUUUCCUGAAUGGAUAUCUUUCCCCGCCUUUGAACAGAGAGGACUCAAAAGAUCAUAUGGUUUGCUUUGUUUCGGCACAUAUCUUAGUCGAAUUAAAUGAUGUUUUUACAAGAUGGAAAUCUCUUGGGAAAAAGUGGGAUUAUGAAAGCUCUAAGGUUGGGCUAAAAACCUAUCAAGUGGAAAGCUGACAGACCAUUGAUACCAGAUACGGUGUUCAAAAAGUUCCUUUGCAUAAUAAUUUGUUGAUAAGAGGUCAUUGCCAACCAUUGACAAGGUCAAGGGAUAUGGUGGAAGAGAUGUGGAAGUCAUGAAGAUUGCACAUGAUUGCAUUCAGAAAUCAUUGCAGUUUAUACAUGAAAGAGAAAUUUCUCACCUAGAUGUCAAACCUUAUAAUAUUUAUGUAAAGAAUGGUGUUUAUAAGUUGUCAUUUUGGAUGUGCAAUUCUCACGGUAAGAGCUUGCAAAUUGAAUAAUGAUUUUGUAUGUUCAAUUUAUGUAAAGAAUGUGUUUUAUUUUCUGUUGUUCAACUUAAAUUAGUUUUAGUGCAUGUUGUUAUGAGAUGAUAAUGUCAUCUUCCAUUUCAAAGAUGUUACUGUUAUCUGUUUUUGCAAAAAUAAUUUCUAUAGAAUUAUUUUA